GAAAAUUUAGUUUAUUAAAACAUUAACUUGUCAAGUUAAAAAUAUUAUAUUAAUAAUUUUCU
rnacentral:tRNA from 1 species